rnacentral:tRNA from 1 species
GGAAGGGUGCCCGAGUGGUUAAAGGGGACGGACUGUAAAUCCGUUGGCUCAGCCUACGUUGGUUCAAAUCCAACCCCUUCCACCA